rnacentral:lncRNA from 1 species
GGUAAGCUAAUUGAAUUUCCUACACAAUGGCAGGCUCUAAACUGAAAAAUAAUGAGUGUUUUUGAAAAUUAUACAUAUGAAUACUCACAUAUUGGGACUUGAGUUAUGCUAGGAAAAUAUGGAGCGUUACAUUUCUCUCCAUAGUUGGGAUACUUUCAGGCAUAUUACUCUUCCCCAAAUCUUACUUUAUGAAAAGCAUGUGUUAUAAAUGCUCAAAUUUUUUGGAUUUGAAUGUGGG